rnacentral:lncRNA from 1 species
UCACUAUCCCCUAUGCAAUAUUGUAUAAAUUACUAAAAUGCCUUUAUGCACAAGAGUGAGCUUAGAGUUAAUCCAACCAUUAUAAAUCGUGCCACCAUGGUAUAUGAGCUUAGAGUAGGGACCAUUGGGAUUUUAGACCUUCCAUUUUGUCUUCUUAGCACAUAUGUAAAUUUUCCAAUGAAAGAUGCAAGGGAGGGGUGAAUAGAC